UGGGAGAGCCUGCGUCAUUAU
rnacentral:siRNA from 1 species